CUGUUGCUCCGAUCCGGAGUCUCCGGAACCAGCCUCUGGCCCUCUAGAUGUACGGCCGCAGGACCUUUGGUUUGCUGGCAGCUGUGUCUCAGAAAAAGCUGUCUUCAGCAAGGCAGAAGCAGUGCAGGUGACUUACCAGCUCACUGAUUACACUUGGGAUGAAGUCCAACAUCAUUAGAAUGGGCUACAAGAACAUCACUGGUGUGACCCCAUCUCAAGCCAUUACCACCGCGCUCACUCACUGGGAUCCAGUCCCUGCUGGUAUUCCCAGAGUCUGGUGGAAUGCCUAACACAUAAUAUUUUAACACUCAACUAGGAGCCGCAAAAGAGAAGACAGAAAAAAGAGUCUCUGAAGGUUCGACAGAAGAAGAGGUGAAUAGCAGAUAAUCAUGGCAUCUAUUCCGUAUUUAUGUCUAAGACAGGUUCUUGAAUUCUAGAAGACUUUUUUAAAAAAACAAAUGUGUACCUAUUAUAAU